UACGUAGGGGGCAAGCGUUGUCCGGAAUUAUUGGGCGUAAAGCGCGCGCAGGCGGUUUUAUAAGUCUGGUGUUUAAACGCAGGGCUCAACCUUGUGUCGCACUGGAAACUGUGAGACUGGAGUGUAGGAGAGGAAAGUGGAAUUCCACGUGUAGCGGUGAAAUGCGUAGAGAUGUGGAGGAACACCAGUGGCGAAGGCGACUCUUUGGUCUGUAACUGACGCUGAGGCGCGAAAGCGUGGGGAGCAAACAGG
rnacentral:rRNA from 1 species